GCAAACAGAGUGACAACAAGGCUUCCCGUUCGCUCAGCCCUAUUUAAGCAAGAUACCGGCGGAUUAGUAGUUAGGUGGGUGACCACUAGCGAAUCCCCGCUGUUGUAUGUU
rnacentral:rRNA from 1 species